rnacentral:rRNA from 1 species
UACGGAGGGUGCAAGCGUUGCUCGGAAUUAUUGGGCGUAAAGGGUAGGUAGGUGGUCUCAUUUGUCUGGGGUGAAAUCCUUGAGCUUAACUCAAGAAGUGCCUCAGAAACGGUGAGACUAGAGUUCUGGAGAGGGAUGCGGAAUUCCAGGUGUAGCGGUGAAAUGCGUAGAUAUCUGGAGGAACACCGGUGGCGAAGGCGGCAUCCUGGACCAAUUCUGACGCUGAGUGAGCGAAAGCCAGGGGAGCAAACGGG